AACAAUCAGGAUUUCGUAAAAAUCAUUCAUGUAAUACUGCACUCAUUAGUUUAAUAGAUACUUGGUUAAAAGAUGUUGACAGUGGAAAAAUUAUCGGGACUGUAUUCUUAGACUUAAAGAAAGCCUUUGAUUUGGUUGACCAUGAAAUACUUUUGCAUAAACUUAAACUUUAUCAUUUUUCUGAAAAUGCCGUUAAGUUUUUUAAGUCAUAUCUUUCUAACAGAAUACAACUGGUUAAGAUAGGUAAUCUUCAAUCUCAGCCAAUGAAAAUAAUUUCCGGUGUUCCACAAGGCUCAAUAUUAGGACCUUUAUUAUUUCUAAUAUACAUAAAUGACAUAGCUUUCAUUGGUAAUGAUAUAAAAAUUGAUUUAUACGCAGACGAUUCUACUCUUUAUGAGUCCGGAGAUAAUAUAUCAAAAGUAGAAAUAAAACUUCAAGAUCAUUUAAAUAACAUUGACAAAUGGUGCAAAAUAAAUAAUAUGGCCUUAAAUCCAGAUAAAUCAAAAUGUAUGGUAAUAGGAACAAGACAAAAAGUAAAUAUUAUGAGAAAAUUAAUUCUUAAGAUAAAUGAAAUAGCUCUGGAAAAUGUAACUGAUCAAAAAGUAUUGGGUAUUUGCAUAGAUAACAACUUAAAAUGGCACUUGCAAAUUGACAAUGUUUGUAAAAAACUUAACGGAAAAAUUGCCUUAUUGAAAAAAAUAUCGUAUUUUUUGCACUUUGAUAUGAAAUUAUUGUUUUACAAUGCAUAUAUAUUGCCCAUUAUGGACUAUUGUUGUAUUAUAUGGGGUAAAGGACAGACCUGGGGUAAUCACUUAUCGUAAUCAUCGAUUUUUUAAUUGAUUACAUGAUUACACUGUAAUCAUCAUGUAAUUGAUUACCUUGCUCAAAAUUGAUUACAUUAAUUGUAAUUAAUCAAUUACAGCUUAAAUUCAGUCUGUAAUUAUGAUUACAAUUUGAUUGAUGUUGAUUACUUUCAGAUUUUACAUGAAACUAUUGAAAUUCAAAUGAUUUAUUUCACAUGUUACAGUUUAACUAAGGUAGUAAAUUAUCAAGUAAGACAUUUUAAGACAUCACUCACAAUGAAGAAAUAAGUUUUAAUCCAUACAGUUAACCAAAUUCUAACUGAAAGAUAGACAUCAUUGUUUGGCUGGUAUUCUAACCAAAAUGUCAAAUCAUUGGAUUUAUGAUGUCUUUGAAUUUCCUAAAGAAAAAUCUGGAAAUGUGACAGCACAGUGCAAAUUGUGCCCUAAGAAGAUAAAUGGAAACACUAAGUCACAUUCAAAUUUCAUUACCCACAUAAAGAGAGUUCAUUAUGAAACCUACACCAAGAAGACUGAGGACCAUUCCUAGUGUUACGGGUAAAAUUUUCCGUCCUGAUAGAUGCAGUCUGACUGACAGACGGUUUCAUGAACUUAUGAUGCUAAAUAUGAUAAAGUGAUGUGUCAGUAACUAGAAGUGUGUUAAAAUGAUGACUGAUGAUGAGCUGUAAAUCCUUUGUGUAUAUAAUGUAUAUAAUGUAUACUAGUAUAUUAAAUAGCAUUAAGAAACUUUUGUUUAUAGUUAUACAUAGAAUGUAAUCAAUUAUCAAUCAAUUACUUUCUGAAAGUAAUUGUAAUUUAAUUGAUUACAGAGGUAAGUCUGAGUAAUCAAUUGUAAUCAAUUACAAUAAAAUCUGAAAGUAAUUGUAAUUAAAUCAAUUACUGAUCAAUGUAAUCAUCCCCAGAUCUGGUAAAGGAAACACAAACUACAUAAAUAAUGUUUGUAAUUUACAAAAACGAAUUGCUAAAAUCAUUUUACAGCAACCUCAAAGAUCUCCGUCAAUAAAUCUAUUCGAAACUCUUAAUUGGUUACCGUUCCUUGACAGAUGUAAAUACCACACGGCGGUGCUUGUUUUUAAAACUUUAAAUAACAUGGCACCGACUUAUAUGACAGAACUGAUGACUUUAUCCGACAACAAAAUAUAUAACUUAAGAUCUAGGUCACGAAAAGAUAUUGUAUUAUGGACAAGACCUAAAACAAAUUAUAUUAAAGACACAUUUUCUUAUUAUGGCAUGAACAUUUGGAACAAUAUACCUUUAAAUAUUCGUAAUGUUAAUAACCAUAAAUGUUUUAAAGAAAAAUACAAAGCAUAUCUUGAUGUUCAUAUGAAUGAAUGAGUGAGUGAAUGAAUAAAUAUAUGAACGAACGAAUGAACGAACGAACGAAUGAUGCAAUAUACGUAUAUGUUUAAACAAAUUGUUGAGUGUCUGUCGAAAGUAUAUGAGUUGUAUUAUUCUUAAAAUUACAUAUUAUACAUUCAUUUUUCUACCUAUGCAUGUCCUGUUGUUGUUGUUUUCUAUUUCAGAAGGCCACAUUGGAAAUAAGAUAUAUAUGAUUGUUAUUGUAUGUUCUUAAUGUGUAACCUUCUUUAAAUAAAGAUAUUAUUAUUA